CCAUGCAGUCGAACGGUAACAGGUCUUCGGAUGCUGACGAGUGGCGAACGGGUGAGUAAUACAUCGGAACGUGCCUAGUAGUGGGGGAUAACUACUCGAAAGAGUAGCUAAUACCGCAUGAGAUCUACGGAUGAAAGCAGGGGACCUUCGGGCCUUGUGCUACUAGAGCGGCUGAUGGCAGAUUAGGUAGUUGGUGGGGUAAAGGCUUACCAAGCCUGCGAUCUGUAGCUGGUCUGAGAGGACGACCAGCCACACUGGGACUGAGACACGGCCCAGACUCCUACGGGAGGCAGCAGUGGGGAAUUUUGGACAAUGGGCGAAAGCCUGAUCCAGCAAUGCCGCGUGCAGGAUGAAGGCCCUCGGGUUGUAAACUGCUUUUGUACGGAACGAAAAGCCUGGGGCUAAUAUCCCCGGGUCAUGACGGUACCGUAAGAAUAAGCACCGGCUAACUACGUGCCAGCAGCCGCGGUAAUACGUAGGGUGCAAGCGUUAAUCGGAAUUACUGGGCGUAAAGCGUGCGCAGGCGGUUUUGUAAGACAGUGGUGAAAUCCCCGGGCUCAACCUGGGAACUGCCAUUGUGACUGCAAGGCUAGAGUGC
rnacentral:rRNA from 1 species